rnacentral:lncRNA from 1 species
CCCAGAUCACCCUCCACCUCUCCUCUUCCCCAUGCCUCUGGUCCCCCUUCUCCCCCACCGCACCAUCGGAGCCCCUGAUGUCCUCCCCCCUCCCUCGCACCACCGUCCCCACUUUCGAUCUAGCAUCUUCUCAUCGGAUUGCAUGUUUUUGAGCCCUUCCCUUGCUAAAUCACCCUCCUCUUAUCGGAUCGAGACCCCCACC